rnacentral:rRNA from 1 species
AUUGAACGCUGGCGGCAGGCUUAACACAUGCAAGUCGAGCGGAGAUGAGGUGCUUGCACCUUAUCUUAGCGGCGGACGGGUGAGUAAUGCCUAGGAAUCUGCCUAUUAGUGGGGGACAACAUUCCGAAAGGAAUGCUAAUACCGCAUACGCCCUACGGGGGAAAGCAGGGGAUCUUCGGACCUUGCGCUAAUAGAUGAGCCUAAGUCGGAUUAGCUAGUUGGUGGGGUAAAGGCCUACCAAGGCGACGAUCUGUAGCGGGUCUGAGAGGAUGAUCCGCCACACUGGGAAUGAGACACGGCCCAGACUCCUACGGGAGGCAGCAGUGGGGAAUAUUGGACAAUGGGCGGAAGCCUGAUCCAGCCAUGCCGCGUGUGUGAAGAAGGCCUUUUGGUUGUAAAGCACUUUAAGCGAGGAGGAGGCUACCUGGAUUAAUACUCUAGGAUAGUGGACGUUACUCGCAGAAUAAGCACCGGCUAACUCUGUGCCAGCCGCCGCCGUAAUAC